AGAGCCUACAACAACCCAAAAACCGCACCUCACUCCCCAACCUACUGCAAGCCUACGUGGCGAAACACGUGUCGAGGUUGAAGCAGUGGGGGAAUCGUGUUAACAUUCUACAGCAGCAACAUGGCGCUGCGCCCAACACCUCUCGCCUGUGCGUCCACAAGCUGAGACCGUCACUUGGGGGUGUGGUGGCAGGACGCCGGCCGGGAGGAGAGUGGGGCGCGAUUUGACCGGAACUCCGCACGCUGAUACACACGCAGGGGAGGUGGAUCUGGAUGUGCUCCAGAAAUUUCAAGAGUGAACUCUGAAGCAGGAAAAAGAAGAGUCGGUAAGAAGAGAGGCUGAGAAGAAUCUGGAGGGUUUGUAUGCUGUAAAUGGUAAACUUUGGCUUCCUAGGGCACUAUACCCAAUGAUGUGUGCCUUAUCCCAUGGCCUCCCCCAGCAGUCCAAAGAAGCAAUGGUGAGUCUGCUAAAUCAAGGAUGGGUGGCCCCAGGUUUCAACAAUGUCGCUGCAAAGUUUGUUUAAGGGUGCAUGGUCUGUGCUUGCCAUAACAUAGGGGGGACAGUUAAGGUGCCCCCCAAGCUGCACUCCAAAGCCCUUAUACCCGUUCCAGAGGCUGCAGAUUGACUUCAUUCAACUUCUAAAGGUAUACAUAUAUGAGUAUGUUCUGGUAUGUGUGAACCUCUUCUCAGGGUGGCCUGGCCAACAGUUAAGGCUAAUGCAAAGACUGUAGCGAAAAAGCUCUUAUCUGAGGUAGUGUGUAAAUUUGGGGUUCCAGAAUUAAUCGAAAGUGAUAGAAGAACUAAUUUCACUUCAGAAGUAUUACAAGAGAUACUUCAUGCUCUAGGUAUAGAGCAAGCAUUUCACAGACUGCAAAGUAGCGGCAAGGUAGAACGCCUAAAGGGAACUUUCAAGUUAAAGAUCCAGAAGGCCAGAAACAGGAAAGCCAUGAACUGAAUGUUAGCCUAUAGCAUUGUACUCAGUCAGAGUGACCCCCCCCCCCCCCCCAAGAAAACACAGUUAAGUCCAUAUGAGGUAUUGUUUGGCACUGCUCCAAGGACAGGCCUAUAUUUUCCCCAACAGCUUCAGGCUAUUCAUUCUAGCAUGACACAGUAUGUGGGAGCAUUGUACAGGAGAUUGCAGCAGACUCACAAUCAUGUUUUCAGUUCCAUUUCAGAUCCUUCUUCACUGGAAGGGACUCAUGCGAUGAAACCUGGAAAUUGGGUUACGGUCAAAAGGCAUGUGAGAAAGGCUUUGGAUCCUCAGGUUGAUGGGCCAUUCCAAGUCCAGCCAACUAUACCCACCUCUGUGAAAUUGGAGGGAAGACCAACGUGGAUCCACGCCUCACACUGCAAGAAGUUGAGUCUGGGAAAAUAAUAAAAAAAUACAGUGAUAAACGACCAAACUCCUCCCACACAAGUGAUGGUCACUAUGGCUCCGAUUUUCCCAGAACCUUUCCACUACAAAUGCACAUACUGUGGAAAGAAGGCUGUGGAAAACCUAACUGAUUGCAUAUAUUGUAUAUAUAUUAAAGGACUCAAUGACUGACAAAUUGGGCUCACUCUCAUAGUGCACCUUUCAAGGUGUGGAUUCCACCGGUUGUGUAGGUCCAGGGUUAGAUAGAAAAGAUGACUCCUGUAAAAGACCCUCUGGAUGGAUGCUUGACAUCCCACAAUUUGGAGAGAUUUAGUAUUUUCCCACUUUGUGUAGGCAGGACGAUCUUAAAGUUGUCUUUGGUUGUCGGCAGGGAGAUAGGGAGGGCGUCACAGACAGUGGAAUAAUGAUAAAAAGAGGGGAAUAAUGUGAGAGUUAUGGUCCAUACAUUUACUGAUUAUACGGAUAUUUCAUAUUAAUUAAUUUAUAUAGUUGUAUUGCUUGAUUCAGUGUGAGCUUUAAACUUAUCAUAUUCCUAUGUCUUGUGACUGGUCUAGCUGAGGAUGUCUCCAGUAAAGUUGUUUGUCAGUACGUGCCAUGUCAGCAUAAUAUGAGGAGAAGGGAGUAUUUCAUACAACCAUGAAGAAGAUUGGGAAAUGUAUCUUUUGGUCAAAUUUGUCCUUAUGUUCCAACAAAUUCUAGGAAAUGUUAUUCAAAUGAAGGACACAGAUGUCCACAAUAUGUGUCCAAGUUGGAUUCAGUUCCUGGG